CGCUGAGGUAGCUGGUCGGAAAAAUUGCAAGAAAACAUGGCAGAUAAGUUGAGGCCACAGGGAUUCCGGUGGCACCUCAAAUCACUGAAAACAGCAUCCUGUUGUGUGCAUUGCUGGAGUAGCAGCUAUUAUCUUCCCAAUGCUCAGAGAUGCCAUAUGGAGAGGCUUAUGUGGCAAGGAAUUGAAGGUAGCCUCUGACCAACAGCUAGCAAGAAACGGAAGCCCUCUGUCCAACAGCCCUCAAGGAACUGCACUGGGAUAACAACCACAUAAGUAAACUUGAAAGCAGAUUCUUCCCUGAUAGAGCUUUCACAUGAGAUCACAGCCCUGUCCAACACUUUGAUUAUAGCCUCAUCGUAGUUCCUGAG